rnacentral:rRNA from 1 species
AUUGAACGCUGGCGGCAGGCUUAACACAUGCAAGUCGAGCGGGGGAAGGUAGCUUGCUACUGGACCUAGCGGCGGACGGGUGAGUAAUGCUUAGGAAUCUGCCUAUUAGUGGGGGACAACAUCUCGAAAGGGAUGCUAAUACCGCAUACGUCCUACGGGGGAAAGCGGUGGAUCUUCGGACCUUGCGCUAAUAGAUGAGCCUAAGUCGGAUUAGCUAGUUGGUGGGGUAAAGGCCUACCAAGGCGACGAUCUGUAGCGGGUCUGAGAGGAUGAUCCGCCACACUGGGACUGAGACACGGACCAGACUCCUACGGGAGGCAGCAGUGGGGAAUAUUGGACAAUGGGGGGAACCCUGAUCCAGCCAUGCCGCGUGUGUGAAGAAGGCCUUAUGGUUGUAAAGCACUUUAAGCGAGGAGGAGGCUACUUUAGUUAAUACCUAGAGAUAGUGGACGUUACUCGCAGAAUAAGCACCGGCUAACUCUGUGCCAGCAGCCGCUGUAA